CUUAUUAGCCAAGUCUGUAAUCCGCUGGGCAACACUUGCACAACGUGUUCGAUAAAUUGUGAAAUAAGUGCUAAUUGUGAAAAUAAAUGGAAAUUCGAAAUUGCUAGAGGAAAGCUUACAAGUUGUUAAAAAAGUAAAACUCGCUCAGAACGAAAACAAUAACAACAUACUACUACCGCACCUUGAACACAAAUAAUUGCUAAUUAAAAUCCCAUAGCCAUAGUGUGUGUGCCUGCUACUGCUGUGUAUGUACAUAUGUACAAACAUACGAACAUAAAUAUAUAUAAAUUUCAUGGAAUGCGAGCUGCAGUAAACAAACUAAAAACCGUAUUACUAUAACUCUAUUGUCGAUGUCUAUUUCAUUAUCUGCGUGCACGUCGGCGACCCCCGCUCAGGUUAUCCGCCGCCCGCCUCUUGUCCAGAGCAAAUCUGAUAAGCGGCUUUUCCGUCGCGCGCGCAAUCACAACCAGUGCAAAACAUACGUACAUAUGUAUACUGUAUGAUGGAAAUAGUCUGUAAUAUAGAAACGCUGAGACCCUAAUUUAAUUUGCUUAGGGUUUCUGUGGUUUGCCAUGCAAUAAAAUAAGCAGGAAGGUGCUCCUUGCUGGACGCCUAAGAUGUACUUUAAGCGUGGUAUGCUGCGCACUAAAUUCUCAUGGAUAAUUCAAUUACUGCAGAUAACGAAGGUUUUACUUUCGUUAUAGUUAUACAGAGAAUAAAAUUGUAUGGAUACGUGUUUUUGUUUAAACUUAAUAACUGUGAAGAGUAAAAUUAGCUGUCUCUGUUUACACCUCGGAACCUUGCCACAUCUCAAAACGCAUCAUUAGGAGACCAAUUGGUUGGCAAUUGGAAACUUUACAGACUGGCGCAUAUCUAAUCUAAUCUGCAAUAUUUUACCUUUGCACCUAGUAACCGAAAGAUGCCAACAGUAUUAUGGGUAUAUGUAUAUGAAUUCUUAGGUAAGUAGAUAUACAAUAUUCAGAAUAUAUGUUUAAGCAACGAUACUUUUUUUUA